rnacentral:rRNA from 1 species
UACGGAGGAUGCGAGCGUUAUCCGGAUUUAUUGGGUUUAAAGGGUGCGUAGGCGGCGAGUUAAGUCAGCGGUCAAAUCGUGGGGCUCAACCCCAUCCAGCCGUUGAAACUGGGGAUCUAGAGUGUGCGAGAGGUAUGCGGAAUGCGCAGUGUAGCGGUGAAAUGCUUAGAUAUUGCGCAGAACUCCGAUUGCGAAGGCAGCAUACCGGCGCCCUACUGACGCUGAGGCACGAAAGUGCGGGUAUCGAACAGG